rnacentral:rRNA from 1 species
CCUACGGGUGGCAGCAGUGAGGAAUAUUGGUCAAUGGACGGAAGUCUGAACCAGCCAUGCCGCGUGCGGGAAGACGGCCCUAUGAGUUGUAAACUGCUUUUGUACAAGGGUAAACCUGAAUUCGUGAUUUCCGCUGAAUGUACUGUACGUAUAAGGAUCGGCUAACUCCGUGCCAGCAGCCGCGGUAAUACGGAGGGUCCAAGCGUUAACCGGAUUUAUUGGGUUUAAAGGGUGCGUAGGCGGGUUGAUAAGUUAGAGGUGAAAUGUCCGAGCUUAACUCGGGAACUGCCUCUAAUACUGGUGAACUGGAGAGUAGGUGCGGUAGGCGGAAUGUAUGGUGUAGCAGUGAAAUGCUUAGAGAUCAUACAGAACAUCGAUUGCGAAGGCAGCUAACCAAGCUAUAUCUGACGUUGAGGCGCGAAAGCGUGGGGAGCAAACAGGAUUAGAUACCCGUGUAGUC